ACGCCGCCCAGUGCGGCGCACAUGGCUCCAACGGGCCAGUGGCGGGGGUGGUGCCGUGUCGGCGCAGCACCACCCCCGCGCC
rnacentral:ncRNA from 1 species